GAAAAGAAAAGAAGCCACUCACGCGAUGAAGACAAGGCUGACGGAUACACUGCAGACAUCUAAAGCCAGCAGGAGAAUUCUCCACCAGCCAGUUUACAAGGCAGAGGCCUGCAGAAGAUAUGGUUACUAGGUGUUCUGAAUGCUUCCAGAGUGCGUUGCUGCAGGCAACAAAAGUGAGCAAUGGUUGAUUUCAGAAGCUUUCUAAGCAUGAUCACAAAGGGGCUGAAAGCCACCUGACAGCUCUUCAGUCACAUGUUAAAGA